rnacentral:rRNA from 1 species
GACGAACGCUGGCGGCGUGCUUAACACAUGCAAGUCGAACGGAAAGGCCCUGCUUGCGUGCGGUGCUCGAGUGGCGAACGGGUGAGUAACACGUGAGCAACCUGCUCUUCACUUUGGGAUAACUUCAGGAAACUGGGGCUAAUACCGGACAGGAGCUGCUGCUGCAUGGUGGGGGUUGGAAAGUUGCGGCGGGUGGGGAUGGAUGCGCGGGUGAUCAGCUUGCUGGUGGGGGAGUGGCAGACCAAGGGAGUGACGGGUAGCCGGCCUGGGAGGGUGAACGGGCUCCAUGCGCCUGCGGGAGGCAGCAGUCUCGUACGGGGGGCAAUGGGGGGGAGUAUGAUCCAAUGGUCGGGAGUGGGAGGCGGAGGCGCUGCGGGCGGGAAGACGGCCUUCUGGUUAUGAACCGCUUUCGCCUGUGACCAAGCGUUAGUGACGGUACUGGAUGAAGAAGCACCGGCUAACUACGUG